AUUGAACGCUGGCGGAAUGCUUUACACAUGCAAGUCGAACGGCAGCACGGACUUCGGUCUGGUGGCGAGUGGCGAACGGGUGAGUAAUGUAUCGGAACGUGCCCAGUCGUGGGGGAUAACGUAGUGAAAAUUACGCUAAUACCGCAUACGAUCUAUGGAUGAAAGCGGGGGAUCGCAAGACCUCGCGCGAUUGGAGCGGCCGAUAUCAGAUUAGGUAGUUGGGGGGGUAAAGGCCCACCAAGCCAACGAUCUGUAGCUGGUCUGAGAGGACGACCAGCCACACUGGAGCUGAGACACGGUCCAGACUCCUACGGUAGGCAGCAGUGGGGAAUUUUGGACAAUGGGCGAAAGCCUGAUCCAGCCAUUCCGCGUGCAGGAUGAAGGCCCUCGGGUUGUAAACUGCUUUUGUACAGAACGAAAAGGUUUCUACUAAUACUAGGAGCUCAUGACGGUACUGUAAGAAUAAGCACCGGCUAACUACGUGCCAGCAGCCGCGGUAA
rnacentral:rRNA from 1 species